ensembl:lncRNA
GUUGUGGUUAGGCUUCAAAUCUGUGGACCACUGAGAACAGUUUUCAAGUUUUUAAAUAAAAAGGAACUCUUGAAGCAGAGUUCAGCAGAACUUGUCAAUGUGUAUUAUAGGUAGUUGUUUUUCUGCCAUCUAUCCUUGACAGGAUGUGAUCUACAGGAAGUCCAUGGAUGUGGGAGAGUUUGGGUUUGGUCUUUGCGUUACUGUUCCUGUUUUUCUGAACAGAUUUGUUCUCUUAUCUACUGUAACUGCUGACAGUGUUAAUUGUUGAACUGAUUUUCAUCAGUUAGGUCCCCCUGGAAAACUCAAAAUGAUUGCCUCUUGCCAACUGUCCAAGGUCACCGGCUUCAGCCUGGCUUUUAGGACUCUUCGUGACCUGUUCCACUUUCUCAUGCUCCUGUCCGGUGCCUCUCAGAUCCUGUAGCCCUGUCCCUGGUACCACUGUGAUUUUUCCUCACCCUUUCUUUCCCUUGGCAUUUUUGUCUAGUUUUAGCUCCAUGUCUUGAGAAGUGUCUUGCAGUCAUGACAUGUUCUCUGAUUCCAUUGCAUUUAAUGCAUGUAGUAGUCCCUUCCCUCUCUUGGCUUUCUUUGUUGAUAUAGGCCAUGUUGUUGCCUCUGAGGGGAAGAUGUGUUUUCCUUGGAGAAUUCGUUGAAGUGCUUGAUUAUUGUAUCAUGAGCUCAAAUAUUAUUUUCAUAAUGGGUUGUAAAAAUGGGUUGUUUCUCUAGGGCCUGUGUUAGAAUGAGCACUGACACCCCUGCCUCUGCAUUGAUGCAGUACAAUCUUCUUUCUGACUUAGACUUCCCAAGCAGAGGAGUAUUGUAGACAUGGGCCUGUUCUGUCAUCCCAAUUUUUAUGCUGGGAGUGGACAAAAGAGAAAACUUGGUUCAUUUUUUAAUGUUCAAUGAAAGUGGGUAGGUUUGUGUCCUGUGCUCCAGACGGUUUCUCUGAUUGUCCUGGAAUUUGCUCUGUAGACCAGGCUAGCCUUGAAUUCGCCUUGAACUACUGCCUCCUAAGUGACAGAGAUCAAAGGUGUGCACUGCCCCCGUCUGGCUAUGUUUGUCCUUUGACCUGGAAUAGUAGCUGCAGUAUUAAGGGAGAAUGUAACUCUCCUUAGGAAUUGUGUCACCUAAUCAGCUUCAUCCCAUUGCACAUGCUGCCUGCUUCUUAUCUGAAGUGCUCAGGACCUGAAGUGUUUUGGACUUAUUUUUUCCAUUCAGGUUUUUACAUGUGCAUCAUGGGAUCUUGGCCAUGGAAUCCAAGUCUGAAGCUGAAGGUCAUUUUGUUUCCUUGUAGCACAGUAUAAAGUGAUGUCAUGCUUUAUUUAGUGUUGACUGUUUUGCUAGUGUCUUGUCACCUGAGGUCGGGGUGGAGUUUGUGUUUGGGUCUGGUUGAUGCUUAGACAUUUUUGGAUUUUUGGAGCAUUUCAGACUGUGGUCUUUCUAAUUAGGGAUGUUCAACCUGCCUAUCUGCCAGGUAUGAUACUUAAAAGUUUGGGAUUUGUGUGUUGAGACAGGAUCUCAUGUUCAAGUAGCCCAGGUUUCCUAUGAACUGAGCAGAGCUGAAGCUGGUCUUCAUCUGUUUUCUACUUCUGCAUUGUUACUAUGUGAAGUAUGCUACUCUGGCUGUUGCUUCCUUUAAACAUGUACAGGACUUGGCUUUCCAGAUGCUUUUUAUUUCUUUGGUAUGUAUAUGUGUAUUUUGGAAAGGUGUAUAUAUAUAUAGCCUCGUCUGAUCAGGAGCUUGCUGUAGUCCUGCCUCUGCCUCCUGAGUGGCACUACCACACCUUACUAGCACUUAAUAGUUUUCUCUUGGCUUUUCUUUUAACACAGGCUUUCCUUAGCCAUGUACCUAAAUAAAAGUGUGUUAUUAGCUUUCUUUGGUUAUAUUAUUCUCAUGAACACUAACACUGGACCUUGAUCUGCACCACCAUUUUUAACAUACUAGCAUUUAAGGCAAGUCUGUCCAUGCAGGGAAUGUGUGUGUCAUC